GACGAACGCUGGCGGCGUGCCUAAUACAUGCAAGUCGAACGCAGAAGGAGGAGCUUGCUUCCCUGGAUGAGUUGCGCACGGGUGAGUAAAGCGUAGGUAUAAUGCCUGGUAGCGGGGGAGAAAUAUUGGAAAAGCUAGCUAAUACCCCGUAUGAGUAGAUGUUGCAUGUGAUUUACCUAAAAGAUACAAUCGUACCACUACCAGAUGGAGCUGCGUUGUAUUAGCUAGUUGGUGGGGUAACGGCUCACCAAGGCGACGAUGCGUAGCCGACCAGCGAGGGGGAUCGGCCACACUGGAACUGAGACACGGCCCAGACUCCUACGGGAGGCAGCAGUAGGGAAUCUUCCGCAAUGGACGAAAGCCUGACGGAGCAACGCCGCGUGAGUGAAGAAGGUGUCGGGUUGGUAAGCUCUGUUUAAAGGGAAGAACGAGUUUGGUAGUUGAAAGUGCACGCUGUGACGGUACCUUACCAGAAAGGGACGGCUAACUACGUG
rnacentral:rRNA from 1 species